AAUUUCUUUCUCAUUGAUUGUUUAUCCUUUUAAUUGAUUGAUUUUUUUUCAUUUCUUUUAAUUAUUCCACCAAAUAUUACAAGUAUCUUUUAUCUUAAGUGUAAUCAUAUAAAUCAUCUAGUGUAUACAAAGAAAACUCUGAAAAGUAUGUUUAUAUUUGCAUCUCAAGUGAUGAAAAGAGAGAAUCAUUUUUGACCCUGGUAACCCAAUCCAAAGAGAUACAGUGUAACCAUCUAAAGGAUUAAUUCAACAACCACACUUGUAUAUUAAUACCAUAGGGAAAGUCAGGCCCAAUAAUUUUCUCUAUAUAUACAUAAUAUUAUGAUUACUAUCAACAUUGUUAUUAUAUUAUUAUUAUCACUACCAUGAUUGUUGUAGUAGUGAAGUAUAAUAUUACUCUCAGUCAUAUAAUGUUAUUAAUAUUCAGUGAAAAGUAUGAAAAAAAAAUUGAAAAGGCCAAGAUGUAUAAUAGUAAUGAAAAAAAAAGCUAUGGUUUGAAAGAAAUGUAAUAAUAUUAUGAAUACAAGUGAAUACGUUUUUUUUUCCUUCAUCUUCAUCCUCAUUAUCAUCAUCAUCAUCAUCAUCAUCUUCCACCACCUCUACCUUUCAGUAACCGUUAUAUAUAUUAUACGAAAUUGAGAUUGAAUCAUUUGUUUCAGUUGAGUUGAUUUUGAAGAGUCACUUGACUGUUUCAAAAGAAAACAUUACCACCAGAACUUUAUAUUAUUUAGUUGAUAAGUGAAUGAAUCAAAUGAUGAUGAUGAUAACAUUGAGAUAGUAGAGGAAGAAAGACUCAGAAUAAUAUUCAACCAUAUUAUUCACCAGAAAUUCAGAUAGAGAGAGAGAUAAACUCCAAUGGCUUUUUUAUGUGCUAUGUUACUACUUGGGUCGAUCAAUUUUUUUUCCUUCUCCCUGAAUAUUACCUUUUUCCACCAUGUUAUUCAUUCAUUUAUCUUCUCUUUCAUUUUAUCUCUUCAGGUCUCUACCUCUUGGUCAUCAAACCUUCAAAAAUUAUCAUCACCAUCAACCAUUAUCAUUAUUAUUUAUGUUACCUGAGCACAAGAUAAUCCAACACAUCUCAACAUCAACUCAAGUGAAUGGAGAGGAAAAACAAAAUACUCAUUUUUUAUUUGAUUAUUUGAUUAUCAUUAGUUUGUUAUUGUUAUCUGUCUUUAUUCAUUAUUAUUCUGCUUCCAAUUCAUGAAUAUAAUAUCAUCAUGAAGAAGGGAUAUUCAUCAUGUUGUUAGAUUGAAAUUAGUUUGAUUUAACUAAUGGUAAAUAACAAUAAUGAUAAUAAUACAUGAUGAGAAAAUAAUAGACUCGUUCGUUCAUUUGAUUAUUUGAUUAUUUUUAUUGGAAUGAAUUGAAUAAUCGUAUUAUCAUCAAUAAGUUAAUGAUAAUGAUGAUGAUUACCAACAAUAACAACAACAAAUCACUGAUGAUUAAUAAUUGAUUAGUUAACUUUUACUUCGUAAUCGUAUGAUUACAAUAAUAGUGACUUUCUAACUGAGAUUUGAUGUUUUUUUUGUUUCAUCAACAAUAUUAAAACUCACCUCAUACAUAAAUAUCACAAACUAAAAGGUUCAGUUAAUUGUGAUGAUUAAUUAACUUACUUGGACAACUUUUCCACCAAUAUUAUGAGUUGAUUUGGAAAUUUCCUUUAAAAUUACUUUGGUGGCUCCGGUUGCAUUUCGCUUGAGUGAAUCUCGAGAUGAUUGUUUACAAUGAAGAGUAAAAUUCAAUAGAGAUGCAGCUCUUUUGGGAUCAUUGUUAUGAUUAUUAUUAUUAUUAUUAUUGUUAUUCUGAUUGUUACCAUUAUUGUUUGAUUGACCAUUGUUAUUAUUGGAAUUGUUGGUUCUAUUGGUCAACUCAUUGGGACGUAAAUUGAUUGAAUUAGUGGCUGUUGAAUUAACACUUGAACCUAAUUCACCGGGUAACAAUUGACCAUCAGAUGUAUCAAGGGAACCACCACCAAGAACAUGAUGAUUCCGAGUUGAAUGACGACGACGACGAUGAUGAUGAUGAUGAUGAUGAUAAUUGUGAUGACCAUGUUGCUGAUAUUUAGGAUGAAUUAAAGGUGAUGAUGAUUGGUGCAAAUAGGAUUGAUAAUGUUGAUGUUGUUCUUGAUUGAUUAAGGCAGUUGAUGGAUUAUUGGAAAGUUCCUGUGAAGUUAAUGUUAAUGAUGAUGAUUGCUGGUGACAAUUAGUAUUAUUAUCAUCAAUAUUAUUCACAUUAACACUACCAGAAUCACCACUUACAUUAAAUUGAUAAUAUAAAUUUUGCUUAUGUUGAUGUCGAGAAGAUGAUGAAGAUGAUGAAUUAGGUUGAUGUUGAACUUUUGUUAUCCUGUUAAUCCUUUCAUCACAUUGAUUAUCACUACAAUUUAAAUUAACAAUUACAUUGCAAUGUUCACCUCUAUUACUACAAUCAUCAUUAUCAUCGUCACCACCACCAAUAACUGGAUUAAUGUUGUCACCAUCAUGAUUAUCCUCCUCUUCCUCUUCCUCAUCAGUUACCUGAUCAUCAAUAUCAUCGGUUGUUGGUAAUUGAGUGUAACCUUUUUUACCGUUUUCCUUAACAUUGGACAUUGAUGAACUUGUAGUCGCUAAAUUAAUAUAUGAUUGAGUUGAUUGUUGCUGUUGUUUAUCAAAGAGCGAUGAAGAUGAAGAUGAUGAAAUUGAUUGUGAGGCAAACAUUGAUGAUUUCACAUAUUAUCCAACAACAAUUAAAAGAUUAAUCAAUUGAAAACUGAGAGAGACACAAACACAAUAAACAUGGAAACCAAAUUAACCAAUAACAAUCAGAAUCUAAUCGAUGGAAUCAACAAACAUUUAUGGAAACGGAACAUUGAACAGGAGGAAAAAAAACGAAUAUGGAAAACUCAAUGAAUCGAGAUGAUUACAAAUUAGAAAAUUAAACUGACACAGGUCGAUCACUUUCCAUUCUCAGGGAAAAACACCAAGGAACAGGCAAGAUGGCGACACAGGUCACACAGGGAGUUUUCCAAUAUCAUGAAGAUAAUAUUGUUAUUUUCGUCUCUCU